GUGUAACUAGGUUUUACAUAAGUAUUGUGAUUUAUGUAUGUUGAUUCAGUGUAUAUUCCAUUGCGAUUGCUGAAUUCUCUUCCUCUUUUC